rnacentral:rRNA from 1 species
AUUGAACGCUGGCGGCAGGCCUAACACAUGCAAGUCGAACGAGUGGCGGACUGGUGAGUAAUUUCUGGGAAACUGCCUGAUGGAGGGGGAUAACUACUGGAAACGGUGGCUAAUACCGCAUACCGUCGUAUGUGCCCAGAUGGGAUUAGCUAGUGGGUGGGGUAACGGCUCACCAAGGCGACGAUCCCUCGCUGGUCUGAGAUGCUGACCAGCAACACUGGAACUGAGACACGGUCCAGACUCAUACGGGAGGCAGCAGUGGGGAAUAUUGGACAAGGGGCGCAAGCCUGAUGCAGCCAUGCCGCGUGUAUGAAGAAGGCCUUCGGGUUGUAAAGCACUGUCAUCGGGGAGGCGUUACUCGCAGAAGAAGCACCGGCUAACUCCGUGCCAGCAGCCGCGGUAAUAC